rnacentral:lncRNA from 10 species
UCAGAACACUGAAUACAGAAACUUGAAGAACAACAUCAUUUCAGUCAGGAGUACCAAAAAGAGCUUUUAAGAAAACGGAAGCAGAAAAUGGCAUAGAAGAAGCUGAACCUAAAAUAUUCAGUGAGUAAUAGUCUCCUGUGCUUUGAAGGGCACCAGCAGUGUAAGGAAGGCUAUUUGUAAGGGAUUUGGCAUUGUGCCUGUCAGUGACUUCAGUGAGUGACAGCAGGGUCAGUGGAGUGACAGGUAGUGAGGGCUUGUAGAUAAACCAGGCUUUCAAAGAAUUGAAUGAAGCCCAUCCACACUGGGAAGGCAAUCUGCUUUGUUCAGUCUACUGAUUCAACUGUCAAUCUCAUCCAGAAACACCUUCCCAGAUGCACCAAGAAUGUUUAAGCAAAUAUCUGGGCACCUCGUGGUCCAGUCAAUUUGACAUAUAAAAUUAACCAUCCGAUGGUUCAACAUACAUGUACCUGUGAUGUUUAACCUACAAAUAAAGAUUGCUAAGAGGUCAAUAUUUCUG